ACGUCAAUGGUCUAGCGGUUAUGAUGGGUCCUUCCCAAGGUCUCGAUCCGGGUUCGACUCCCGGUUGGCGUA
rfam:Tulasnella calospora MTT 4182 unplaced genomic scaffold scaffold_1, whole genome shotgun sequence.